rnacentral:rRNA from 1 species
AUUGAACGCUGGCGGCAGGCUUAACACAUGCAAGUCGAGCGGGGUGAUGGUGCUUGCACUAUCACUUAGCGGCGGACGGGUGAGUAAUGCUUAGGAAUCUGCCUAUUAGUGGGGGACAACAUCUCGAAAGGGAUGCUAAUACCGCAUACGUCCUACGGGAGAAAGCAGGGGAUCACUUGUGACCUUGCGCUAAUAGAUGAGCCUAAGUCGGAUUAGCUAGUUGGUGGGGUAAAGGCCUACCAAGGCGACGAUCUGUAGCGGGUCUGAGAGGAUGAUCAGCCAGACAGGGACUGAGACACGGGCCAGACUCCUACGGGAGGCAGCAGUGGGGAAUAUUGGACAAUGGGGGGAACCCUGAUCCAGCCAUGCCGCGUGUGUGAAGAAGGCCUUAUGGUUGUAAAGCACUUUAAGCGAGGAGGAGGCUCUUUUGGUUAAUACCCAAGAUGAGUGGACGUUACUCGCAGAAUAAGCACCGGCUAACUCUGUGCCAGCCGCCGCAGUAA